ACUGGCCUGCUCACUCAGUGGUUGUGCACAGUCUUUUGAGGAAGAGGUGAACAUGGACAAACGCUCGUCUACAGUUUGUGUAUUGAUUGCAGCACUUUGUGCAUUGGUGCACUUUGGCACUGUUUUUUCUUUGGUGAGAUCUGACAUUUUAAUAGGAGAAUGCCCAUGGCGCCUUAAUCUUGCUCUAACACGUUUGGGGUGUGAGGACUGUCCUACAGACCACACAUGCUGUGUCUAUGAUGGUGAAGAGGUGUGUCUUCCUUCAGUUUCACCAAAACCAGGAGAGUGUCCUCUCAUGAGGUCAGAGGUUGGACUGUGUGUUGAAUCUUGCUCUUAUGACAGUGACUGCCCCAAUAAUGAGAAGUGCUGCUCUAAUGGAUGUGGUCAUCAUUGCAUAGAGCCCUACCUGGUGCUUCCUGCAAAACCAGAAUGUCCACAGCAUCUUAAUUUUGCUCUGUCACAUAAGGGUUGUGAGGACUGUCCCACAGACCACAUAUGCUGUGUCUAUAAUGGUGAAGAAGUCUGUGUUCCCACUGUUUUCACAAAACCAGGAGUGUGUCCUCUCAUGCGGUCAGAGGUUGGACCGUGUGUUGCAUCUUGCUCUUAUGACAAUGACUGCCCCAAUAAUGAGAAGUGCUGCUCCAGUGGAUGUGGUCGCCAUUGCAUAGAGCCCUACCCGGGACUGAGUGAUCCAAAUGCACCACAUUGUGACAAUAACCAUGGCAUAGCAGCUGAUGAGCAGCAGAUAGAUACGAAAGAGCAGGAAGUCAAGGACAUAUCCUACAUGACACCACUGGUGCAACAGCUGGCUUUCCUUCUGCAGAGAGAAGAGGUGGGCACCAAGUUCAGCAAGGUGGUUUAUAAUAGUACCUAUGAUGCGAGUGCCAUUUGCCGUACUCGGCAGCAGGUCGUUCAUGAUGAGCAGGAAGACUGUGUAGCCCAGGAUGAGGGCCAUUUUGAAGGAGGUGCGGUCGACGCUAUGGGGAGGCAGGUAGAAGGACAGGAUGUCAAUGAGCAUGAGGAAAGAGCUUGGGAUCAGAAGGUUGACCACGUAGAGCACUGGGCGUCGCUUUACGACCACCUAGUGAACGAGGAAAACGAGGAAAGUUUAAAUGCAUCUUCACAGAUGCAUCUACAUAGAACCGGUUGUCAAACCGGUUUGGUUGGCCGCCAUUUUGAACUAGUGCCAUCGUAUUGCUACUGUUGUGCACAAUCUUUUGAGCAAGAGGUGAACAUGGACAAACGCUCGUCUACAGUUUAUGUGUUGAUUGUAGCACUUUGUGCAUUGGUGCACUUUGGCACUGUUUUUUGCACAGCUACUUUGAGAAGUGGUGGCAUUUUAACAGCAAAGCCAGGAGUGUGCCCUGUCAGGAAAUAUAUACGUGCAGACUGUACUGAAUCUUGCUCUAAAGACAGUGACUGCCCGGAUAAUGAGAAGUGCUGCUCCAACGGAUGUGGACAUGAAUGCAUGCCUCCAGUCAUAGUGAAGCCAGGAUUGUGUCCUCGCAGACGCUUGGAUGACAGACGGUGUGCUGUAACUUGCUCUACUGACACUGACUGCCCCAAUCAGGAGAAGUGCUGCUUCAGUGGAUGUGGUCGUCAGUGCAUGGAGCCCUACCCAGUCUGGCGGGCGGCCACCUUCAUGCUUCCUCCAAAACCAGAAUGUCCAUGGCAUCUUAAUUUUGCUCUGUCACGUAAGGGUUGUAAGGACUGUCCUAAAGACCACAUAUGCUGUGCCUAUAAUGGUGAAGAAGUCUGUGUUCCUACUGUUUUCACAAAACCAGGAGUGUGUCCUCGCAGGCUUCCCCGUGUAGCCUUUGGACCGUGUGUUGAAUCUUGCUCUUAUGACAGUGACUGUCCCAAUAAUGAGAAGUGCUGCUCCAACGGAUGUGGACAUCAGUGCAUGGCUCCAGUCUCAGUGCUUCCUCCAAAACCAGAAUGUCCAUGGCAUCUUAAUUUUGCUCUGUCACGUAAGGGUUGUAAGGACUGUCCUAAAGACCACAUAUGCUGUGUCUAUAAUGGUGAAGAAGUCUGUGUUCCUACUGUUUUCACAAAACCAGGAGUGUGUCCUCGCAGGCUUCCCCGUGUAGCCUUUGGACCGUGUGUUGAAUCUUGCUCUUAUGACAGUGACUGUCCCAAUUAUGAGAAGUGCUGCUCCAACAGAUGUGGACAUCAGUGCAUGGCUCCAGUCUCAGUGCUUCCUCCAAAACCAGAAUGUCCAUGGCAUCUUAAUUUUGCUCUGUCACGUAAGGGUUGUGAGGACUGUCCCACAGACCACAUAUGCUGUGUCUAUAAUGGUGAAGAAGUCUGUGUUCCUACUGUCUUCACAAAACCAGGAGUGUGUCCUCGCAAGUUUCUUCUGCCUUCUUCUUCAGCCUUUGUACCGUGUGUUGAAUCUUGCUCUUAUGACAGUGACUGUCCGGAUAAUGAGAAGUGCUGCUCUAAUGGAUGUGCUCAUGAAUGCAUGGCACCAUACAUAGUGAAGCCAGGAUUGUGUCCUCGCAGACGCUUGGAUGACAGACGGUGUGCUGAAACUUGCUCUACUGACAAUGACUGCCCCAAUCAGGAGAAGUGCUGCUUCAGUGGAUGUGGUCGUCAGUGCAUGGAGCCCUACCCAGUCUGGCGGGCGGCCACCGUUUGAGGCCCGAUGUGUGCUGAGUACUGCUAUCAUGAUGGUCAGGGUCCAGGACAUCAGAAGUGCUGCAGGACAACCUGUGAUCACACCUGCAGUGAGCUCUGCUGAUUAGAAAGUACCCAGUCAAUCUAUAAUAAACAUCAUUAAACUUACCAUCUCUGCAAAUCAACCCAAAUCACUUUUUUCUUUCUUUAAUGUGAUGAAGACUUUCUGUUUCUGAUGAUAAUCAUGUCUCUCUUAUUUUUUCAAACAGACACUUUUUUUCUUACAAAGAAAAAGUGGUCUGUUGGCAUUUUAUUCUUGUUCUCUUAUUUACAACAUGUGAUCUUACCUCAGUGUGAGAAACAGUGUUUCAGUAUGAAUAGUAAAUCUGUUCCAUUUCUAAUUAAAGAGUUAUAGCAUGA